CUGGAACAGAGACUGGUUUCCCACCAGCUGCUGUUGCUCCAGACAGUGGCUGAGACUUGCUAUUGGCAGCAGCAAGACAGACAGAGGAAGCUGGGACAAGCUGGGAAGGAGAACACCGGGGAGGGGGCCACCAGCAGCAACAGAAAGCAACUGGAAAUGGCCCUAAUGACAGAGAAAGCAUAUCUGAGGGCUGAGCAUGCUCAUCUUCCUCCCCAUUCCCUGCCCCUUGCAGCCUCCCCCGACACAGACAGCAGCGUGGCCAGUGGAAGGACAUCAGAGACUUGCAUUUCAUGGGAAACAGCAUCAGUGAAAGCCACUCGACACUAAAUAAAUAAAAAAUUUCUCUUCUGAGAACAGAUGUUGGAGUUGAGCUGACUGCCUUGCCACCUGGGCAGCCCUCACCCUUUCACUGGCAUUUUUGCUCCGUGGACAUUGCCUGCACCAUUAAGGAGCACUUUCCUGUGGGCAGUUUUGUGGGCAUUUCUGACCAGAGAGAGAAAGGAAGGGGAUGAGAGGUGCUGACAUCUUCAAACAAGAAACAGGGUAUGAGAAAUUCACGAUGACCAAAAUUCUGACCCCGAACCAUGAAAAGAAGACACAGCGGAAAUUACAUUUGCGUAUGUCCAUAGAUCAACUUCAAUUUUAGGUAAAGUUAUGUAAAUUCUGUGUAAAUUCAAAUAGAGUGAUUAGUAAGCAGAUAUUUCUAGAACAGUAAAAUUCCCAUCCAGGAGAGCUCCCAAGCCCAUUUCCUCUCCUGCAAGAUAGUACACAGAUAAUAAUAGGUUUAACUGUAAUUGAAGUCAAGAAACUUUUGCAUAUACGUAAAGCUUCUGGAACAUAUGGUUGUGUCAUUUAUGGGCACAAAUUCUGUUUGCCGCUAGGCAAAGCUGAACAACAGAUAAAGAUCUUCUUUUUGUAAUUCUAGAUCUAGUAAAAAGUACCUAAAAUACAAAGAUUAAUUAGGACAACACUGGCUGGAGAGGAAGAUAUAAAUUCAGAUCCUUUUAUAAACAAUAAUAUCUAUGAACUUACACAACAAUUAAUUCAAUAUUUUUUGUGUUUUCUUUUCUCACAUGUAGGUAAAAGAAAUAUCAUUUGUUUUUAGACAAAGAAAUUAGCCUGAUAAAAUGACCUAGUACAGUAAACACCCAACUAAACUUCAUGAGGAAGUUUCAGAGUACACUUUUCUGGAUAUAUUUAGAUUAAAAAGACCAAAUUUAGAAGAACAAGACCAUGAAAUAUGAAUUGUAGGGAACCAUGACAAAUCAAAAGUAGAAGUUUACAUUCACGUAGCUUACACUGUAGAAUCAGAAGAAGAUGCAAGUUCUGCCAACUUGGACUCUCCUUUAAAUUUGGCCCAGUAAUUAAAACAAUUACAGAUAAAAUAAAAACAAGAAUGUUCUUCAGUUUACUUAAGAACAAGCCAGUGUUCUAUUUUUAUAAAACAUGGUUUGAUUUUUGGAUGGUCACAUGUAGAACCUUGAAUUGGACUCAGUGGUCUUUGUGGGUCCCUUCCAACUUGAGAAUGUUUCUACCCAUCUACCACCAUGAAGCUAAGUUCUCUACUGUGAGUUUGUAAGCCAGCAAUCACAUCAGGCUUAUGUUGAAAUACAUUUAUAAUGGUGAUAGCUGAUUUGAAAUAAUUCCAAAUAUUGGAGCACAAUAUAUCUGUGAUUAGGACAAGACAAUAUUUAGUAUUCAAAGAAAAUAGGUGCAGGAAGUAGCAAUAUUUGAAUAAUCAGAUUAGAUAUUCAUAUCCAUGUCAAUCUAGAAGCAAUUCUUAUAAUACACAGUGCAAGUUGGAGUAUUAGCCCACAGCAAGAUCAUUAUAAAGGAUAAAUAAUUCUUUGAAUAGUCUAGUAUUUCGUCACACAAUUCUUUAUGUAGUUAGGCUUGCACAGGAGCAGUCAAGGUAAAGCCUCAAAAAAGUUACUGAGCAUGUAAUGAAAAGAGCAGACUGAGGAUUCAUAGCCAUCCAUUCAAACUGCACAGAAUGAAAAAAAAGAAUUACAUGAAAAACAAUGCACUACAGAAAUGCUUUUGAUAAGCAGCACAUGAAGCUUCAAUAGACAUGCAACGUUCAAUCUUGCUGUCUGUUAUGGAAGUUUCAAUAGAAGUCUUAAAAUGAUGGCUACUUUUGCAUUAACUUAAUUUAGUGAUCAUCACCACAGGUUCUCUGAGGAACUGAUGUUCGUUUUCUUCACGAGCAUUUUCAGGCAUCCUCUGUAGGAGACUGCCAAAAGGUUACUAAUGCAAAUGAGAAGAAGAAGCUCUUUCUUAAACUGUUAAAAGCCUCACUCCCAAUGCAGAAUUUUGUAUUAUGUACACGGUCAUAUAUUAAAAAUAAAAAUGAAGAUGUCUGACCCCCAAGAUUUCUUUCUUUCUGAAGCUGGGACAGAUAAUUGUGCAAUUUGGAUCUUGCUCAGAUAUCAGUUUGGUGCCUGAUAAUCAUGCUUAAGGCUGCUAUAACGUGUGUUGUUGUGACACAUCCAUCCCAAGGAUAUGUCAAGACUGCAAGAGUCUCCCUUAUCUUGUACAUCUUCUCUAAGCAUGGAUUCGACUGUACAGGAAAAACUAGAGUGGUUACCACUAGGGAAGUAAAGAGUAGCAAAACAAUUAUUCUUACAUGAUCUACUUUAAGUACAAAGAAUUCUAAAUUGAGAAAUCACUUAAAAAUAUUUCUAAGUAAGUGAUAUCAGAAGAAGCUUAAUCAUAUAAAGAUUCAAUUAACCAAGACAAAAAUUAAGGCUUGCUGUGUCUUUCUUGCACUAAAUCAAAGCUUCCUAAGUCUUCGAGUCAUUCCAUAAAACAUGAACAAGAAAAAGAAGCAUCUCUGGUGUCAGUAACAAUUUUUUUUAAUCACUGUUUUCUUCCAGUGAAAUUAUGCAUGAACUCCAAUAAACCACACUCAAUGCCUGAGGACUGUAAGAUAUUUUCUGGC
ensembl:lncRNA